CAAGUCUUGACAUCCCUCUGAAACCUCUAGAGAUAGAGGCGGCCUUCGGGACAGAGGUGACAGGUGGUGCAUGGUUGUUGUCAGCUCGUGUCGUGAGAUGUUGGGUUAAGUCCCGCAACGAGCGCAACCCUUGAUUUUAGUUGCCAGCAGGUAAGGCUGGGCACUCUAGAAUGACUGCCGGUGACAAACCGGAGGAAGGCGGGGAUGACGUCAAAUCAUCAUGCCCCUUAUGACUUGGGCUACACACGUACUACAAUGGCUGGUACAACGGGAAGCGAAGCCGCGAGGUGGAGCCAAUCCUAUAAAAGCCAGUCUCAGUUCGGAUUGCAGGCUGCGACUCGCCUGCAUGAAGUCGGAAUUGCUAGUAAUCGCGGAUCAGCAUGCCGCGGUGAAUACGUUCCC
rnacentral:rRNA from 1 species